rnacentral:misc_RNA from 1 species
AACGGUCUAUACCUGCGGUACCUGCGGAAGGAUCAUUACAGGACUCGCAAGACUCCUACAACCCUGUGAACCUACUAUACGAACGUUGCUUCGGCGGGUGCGCCCCGGGGAUUCGUUCCCGCGGCGCGUCAGCCCGCCGGCAGCCUACAAAUUCUGUUUCUUUGCGUUGGCAUCUCGAGAAAAACAAAUAAGUUAAAACUUUCAACAACGGAUCUCU